rnacentral:ncRNA from 1 species
UAUCGAUAAAGGCAAAGCCAUUGAAAAAUGGGGACGCAAAACUAUUAGGGGCUAAAGUCAAUGCGACUAUGCCAGCCAGUUACCGAA